AUGGUGUCCCUCGCCUGCUUCCCAAAGCCCUGCCCACGGCCUUUCAGGGGCCUACACCCACUUCCUCUUGGUCAUUGCCUCCCAGAGUCUCUGCUCCACCGACUUCUCCGAGGCCCCAUCUUCCGCCUAGGCCAGCACCUCGGACAGCUCCAGCGGCGCGCGCCCGCCGCGGCGCGCAGCUCCACCGCCCUGAGGCUCUCCGGGUCUCCAGACGGGGUCCCCGGGCCGCUCCUCCGAGCCGGUGCUCUGGGCCCCUCCCCCAGCUCCGUCCCCCAGGUCGGUCCCCUGGGAGGGGGGCCCCCGGGGGCCCCCGAGCUUCCUAGAGCUCCCGGAAGUUCUCCGAACGGCGCGGGGUGGGGCUCACCCUGGGCGCGGCGCGCGCUUCCGGCUCGGCUCCAGCCAGGUCCGGGCUACAGACCAAGAGGGUGGAGCUCAGAGUGGAGAGCAGAUUCCCAGGCAGGAAACCCUGGAGGAGGCAGAACCCCAGGGCACCCCGGGGACAACAGGGCCAGGGAGCUGCCAGGCCCUGCCGAAACCAUUGAGGGUCACGGGGUGGGUGUGGCAGCCACACAAGACCUGCCCUCAGCAGGCGAUUCCUGGGGAGCAGAGGAACCACGAACCUGAGCCCAGAAGCCAAGCCAGCUUCGCUGCCAACCUGGUGACCCUCCAGGAAGAUUGCGCAGGAGGGAGCCCUAGUGACCCCAGCUGGAGGAGCCACUCAGAAUCCAGCAAGUGUGGGGAGACCCAGCUGGGAGAACAAGCCUCCGCGCAUGCAGGGCCGGAGUCCUGAAGCAGCGGAAGUUUCCCAACAGGGAGAAACCUCAGAAGUGCAGCCGAGGUUCGUGCACCACUCACUCAAGCAGCAUCUGCGGUUCCAGAAUGUGGCCAGGCCUUCAGCCCCAUUCAGCACCAGCAGGUCCACACCCAGGAGAAGCGCUGCACCUGCCAGCAGUGUGGGCACACCUUCAGUGGCAGCUCCUUCCUCAGCAAGCACAGGUGCAUCCACGCCGGGGAGAAGCCUACGAGUGCGGCGAGUAUGGCCAGGCCUUCAGGGCCCUGUCGGGCUUCUUUCUUGGCACCAGCAGGUUCACAUGGGGGAGAAGGCUUUCUACUUCACCCACGGCUGGAACUGAGGUGGCCAGUGUGUCCCAGAGGUCCUCUGGGGCCUCUGCAACGUGGAGCAGACCUUGAGUGGACAGCACUCGGGUGCUGGUGACGCCUGUUUCCCCGCUCUGGGUGCAUGGAGACCACCAUGGGACCCCGACUGAAGCUGGCCCACAACCUGGACCCUGGUGAAGAUGCCUGGGCCUACUCCCUCGCCCUCACCUCCAGCAGGGCCUUGGCUGCCCUCUGGGCCUCCACGUGAAACAAGCAUGAAAAGAGUCCCUAUUGCGGACAGGAGAGAAGGUGAGGCAGGGUGGCUGUGCCCUUUCUCUUUCUCUCCCUGGACGACAUGGAGGCCUUGCUUUUUUUUUUUUUUUUGGUCUUUUGGCUGCACCCAUGGCAUAUGGAGUUCCCAAGCUGGGGGUCCAAUUGGAGCUGUAGCUUCCAGCCUACGCCACAGCCACAGCAAUGCCCGAUCAGAGCCAUGUCUGUGACCUACACCACAUCUCACAGCAACACC
rnacentral:lncRNA from 1 species